rnacentral:rRNA from 1 species
AAUGAACCGUGAGGCUUAACCUUACAACGCCGAAGCUGUUUUGGCGG